rnacentral:lncRNA from 1 species
ACUACCAGGAAUCGGGUAUCCAGGUUGAAGGCGGAGACGACGCAGCCGCCGGCCGCCACCAUCAAGGCGAGCGCACAGAGCAUCAGGCGUGGGGCGCGGGGCGCGCGGCUGGGGCCGGGGCCCAUGGCUGCCAGCGGAAGCGGGGUCCCGGCGAGAGCGCGUGAGGGCGCGGAGCUGGGCGUGAGGACCUGUUCACCUGCUCCCCGCGCCGCCGGAGGACACUGGAACCCGCCGGCCGCUGCGCUCCGUAGCGCUGAUCGGUUUCGUGCCCCCAGCCCCAGCCAGUUUCACAGCUGCGCUCUCGGAUCCCUUCCUAAGAUCCGUGGGUCUAUCUUCCUGCCUCCCCAGCGGCCGGGUCGCCGCCGUCCCUGCCCCGGGCAACCGGCCCCCAGCUUGUCCCGGCCGCGCCCCCUUGGCCGCGCUGUCGCCUUCGAUCCCGGCUUCGCGGCGGAUCUGGCAAGCGCACCGGUCGACCGCAAGGAGGACAGGAGGGAGGGGUCCCCCGGCGCGCGCCCCGCCUCCCCACGCCCAGUCCCGCACCUCCCCACCUUGCGAGCCCAGCCCGGGCUGCGCUUUCCUUCCGGGGAAAGAGAAAAAGAUCCCGGCUCGGCCGCCUCCUCUUAAAGGGGCAGCACCGCCCCUCCCUCCUCAUCCUCCCUACCCCAGCUCCGCCUUCUCCCCCAAACACCUGUCGGCAACCCCCAAAGGCUUAGAUUUCCCCUCCCCGCCCCUCGCUUCUCCGAGAAAGCGUCGCCUGGGGAGCAAGAUGGAUGUGACGGGCGGGGCCGGGGGUGGGAUUUGUCUGGCCGCUUUCCUGCGGCUGCUGCUGCUGCUGCUGAAAAGGCCAGCCGGGCUGGAGAGACCUGGCAUUGGCGCAUCUGGGAACCGACGUCCGUGCGCGGCUGGCUAGAAUGCUGGACUCGCCUCCGCAGCGCUGGCCUGCAGGGAUUAGAAGACAUGUGGGGUCAAGGAACAGGAAGCUGACCUGGAUGGAAGUUGAACAGUGAUCUUUGCUCUCUGCCUGGCUCCUGAGUCCUCUGCCAUGUUCCUGGAGAAGAGGAGCCAGCCAGGGUAAGAAGGGCAGGGGCUUAGGGUGGAAACGCCAUGUGGGUGAGGAUCCUGCCUGAAACAGCUUUGAGAGUCCUGCGAUGACAGAUUGGCCCCAUGCCAGGCCUUAUCUCUUUGGACAUCCCAAACAGGAAUGACCAGCAUGUCCGAUCCUGGGACUGGGAGCCGGAAAGGGAUGAGGGAUGGUUUUUCCACUCCAGGGGAGUGUCCAGAGGGAAUGUGGAGCAGAGCAGGGGCGACUGGUAGGGGGAGGGCCUGAGCUAAAGAAUGUGGGGGAGUGUCAGACCAGUCUGGGGAGAUGGAGUGGGAGUGGAGGGAGACAUGGAGACUAGAAGGAUCUCAGCUGGAGAGAUGGAGAAAGAGAAAUCUCAGGGUUCUUUGGUUUCAGUGGCACCGUCGUCUGUAGGAUCAUCUCAUCCCUCAGUUGACUUUAUCAUGUCAACUCUUUAUCUGUCAACCCUCCCCCAUGGGGAAGAGACCCACCUAGAAACACACAGACAGACAGAGAAACAAGGACACAGGAAUAAUAUGUGUAAUGAGGAGUCUAAGUCCAUUUGUUGAUGUUUGCUGACAGAUUUUAAGCCUCACCCUUCCCUCUUCUCUGUGCCCUACACCUGGACAAGCUGAUAAGAAAGUCUGGGUGCACCCUCCUUUGGUGUUUGAGGGGGAAUAUUCACAAGCCCCUUCCUGAGGGAACCCUCACCCCUCAACCACAAUAAAAACCCAGGCCAGUCUCCUUCCUGGCUCUCCCAACACAUCUGGGACCUGCUUGAAAGACUGCCCCUGCUCCCCCUGGAGACCUCAAUUAUGUAAAUAAUAAACCUUUUCAUACUCUCUUGGUGUUUGGGUGGUGUCGUCAGUCUUCAUUCAAACCAAACCUUGGAUGGGAUCCAUCUGCCUCUGCAGGUGACCGUAACAACAUGCAAAUGGUGAGUUCUGCUGGGGGGUCAUGGAAGCUCCCUGGAGGAGGUGUAUCUGGACAACAGGGAAAGAAAGGAGCUGGAGAAGAGAGGCAGAAAAAUUGGGUCCUGGUUCAGGUGAAGUUUUCCCAGCUGGAACAAUGACAAUGUCAAUAUCCCACAAAGGCGGCUUCUGUUUAUUUAGCGCUUGCUGUGUUCCCACAAGUCUUCCUCUACCUGCCCUCUCCCCAGCCCUCAUCUCACUCUCCCAGAGCCCCAGAGCACACCAAUGGACACCAUCACCUCUCGGGCAGAUCAGCACAGAGACGUGAAGCACACAGGCAGCUGCUGGAAAAAUAACAAGGAAUUGCAAUGGUGUGCCCCUCCGUUGAAUGCAAGCUCUCUUCUGCCUUCUCACCUUGGGCAAGUUACCUUCCGUUCCAGGCCUCGGUUUCUCCAUGUGUGAAAUGAAAGGGCUGGAGAGAAAUCUCUCACUAUUCCCCAAUCUACAUUCAUUGUAUCCCAAACCUUCUAAUAUCUGUUCAACGAAGUGUACCAAAUCUCAGCUAUUGGACUGAGACUCAGGGGUCUAUCUGACUUGAAUUGAAAAUGCAAAUUACUGAAGAGGGAGGGAGGGAGGAGUGCUGAAGAUUGAAUGGAUUUAUCAGAUUUCCUUCUCCUAUGGCCCAGAUGCAGGCCUAGUCCAGGCGAUUCCCCUGGCUCAGAAUCUGCCAGGCUCAAGCAUUCAUUGACAGCCUACUAUGUACCAAUCCUGGGCUGAGUCCCAACCCGGGGAUGACUUAGAGGAGGCCAGGAUGUGGCCUCAUGUUCUGGUUGCUCUCACAUUUAAACAGGCUAAACCCACUUUGCAUUGUAUGUUAGGGGUGGUGCUUGUGGGACAAAGGGGGCUGUCAGAACAUUCUGGCUGCCACAUGAAGUUGACUUUGCCAGGACAGACUGGGUUGUGGGGGAAGGCAGCUACUGUAAUAAUUUGGCCAAGAAGUGGGCUGAGCAGGAGCAGGGCUGAGGGAGGGAGAGAGGGAAUGAGUAAGAAAGGCCCAGGGUACUGAUUUGACUGGGACUUCAGGGACAGGUGUGGGGCGAGAGGGAUGCUGGAAGUGAAGGAGGGAAAGUGCAGAGGCUUUCUGGGGAUUAAUAGGCAAUGAUCUCUAUGAGGGCGUGGUGAGUAGGCCCCAAACAUCCGGGGACUUCCCUGCCUGCCAUCCCUCUGUCUCUCUCUUCCUUUCCUACUGCCCAGGGCCUGGCCCUGCUGCACAUGCCCUGCCCUGGCCCCCAGAGUCCCCUUCUUUCCUGGCUGGGAGAUUAAGACUCUGCUGUGCCUACAGCAUUCUCAACCUCAAGUCAAGGUGGCCCUUUGGAGCCCAGGAGGCCACAUGGCUGAGUCAGGGCUGAGUCACCACCCCCCAAGGGCCUUGCCAUUUCCUGUGGAGAAGCCUCUUUACUGGCAGGGUUCUGUGCUCAGGUGGGAAAUCUGGAGAGGUCGGGGGCAGGGCUUCAUCUACUUUUACCCACUAACUCCCUAGACACUCCACUGGGGGUAGAGGGUUCCUACACGUAUGAUGAUCAAAACAUGUGUCUGUGCACAUGGGCCCUUAUGCAUUCACAGGUGUUUGCCUAUGCGACUGCAUGUCUGAAUGUUUUAUGUAUAUUUGAAUAUAGAUAGGGAACAAAUAUUUAUGGAGCACAUAUUAUGUGUGCAGCCUUUUACGUGUGUUACUUUCUAAUAACCCUAGGAGGCGUAGAUGCCUCCCAGGCUAUGGUUGAAAAUACUGACAUGCCCAAGGUGCAGGAGGUAUGAAUACCUCCCCACUGUGGCUGGUAACACCCCAGGUUUCUCCAACUCCACAGUGAUGGGCUUUCCUCCAGAGCCGGUUCCUCAGGGGCAGGAGUGAGAAGUGUGUGUGUCUGUAUUUAUCCUUCCACCAGUGGCUGUGAUUGGUCCUGUGGUUGGAAACAGGGUCAAGUAAGGCCCUUGGGAGUAGCUGGGUGAAUGGACGAUGGUGGCGUCCACCUUGGACAUGGCACAUACUUCUGGUCGGGUAUCCACGUGGCUGGCCAACCCGGACCUGCCCUAUUAGGGGCCAUCGCCCUCAUGGCUCAUCAGUGCUGAGUUUCAUUGCCUUCUUCGUAAUGCAAUACUAAUGGAUACAGGCAUGUAUCUGCCGUACACUAGAUGAAAUGUGGUUAUUUGCUCAGGUAGAAAUAAAGACUAAAAUACCAAAGUGGGA